AAAAAAAAGCUGCCUCCGAAUGCUUCCGUGUAUUUGCCAAGACUCUGGAACUAUUAUCCUGAGGUGAGAGAAGAGACUGAGCCCAAGAAGGAAGCUGAGAAAGUGAAAUUUUUAUCCUGUGCAGCGGUCUGACAACGCCAGGCUGGUGGUGCAGACUGACAACGCCAAGUUGGCCUCAGAUGACUUUAGGACCAAGUGAAUGGGUAUGAGACAGAGGUGUCCUUGAGGCAGCUGGUGGAGGCAGAUCUGAAGAGUCUGAGCAGGAUCCUGGAUGAGCUGACCCUGUGCAAGUCUGACCUGGAGGCCCAGGUGGAGUCCCUGAAGGAGGAGCUGAUCUGCCUCAAGUAGAACCAUGAGCAGGUGAAGUUCUCCAACAGGAUCAAACUCGCCAAAGCCUGUUUCCAGGAAGCCAACUCCCUGCGGAGACAGCUUGGAGACCGCCUCAACAAGGAGGGCUGACAUGAGAGGAGGAACCAUAGGGACUGGAAUGUGAUGGAGAGUCUUGGGGCACCUGCAUGAGCUCCCUCUUGAGGUUAGUUUUAUGUGGGUGGCUCUGAGAAGGAGUCACUCACAGGAUGGAUUAUCAAGAGGCUCAAGGGAGGGCCUUGAGCAGAAGCAAGUUGGAAACACCCAGGACCUACGCUCGGAUGUCCUCAUCCGUGACCACAUCUGGGCUUGUUCUAUGUGCCAGACAGGGAUACAUAAGUAUCACUAUUUCCAUUAAAAUAAAGCUUCAUUGAUGGAUAAUCGACAUACAAUAAACUGCACAUAUUUAAAGCACGCAGUUUGAAUGCCAGAUAACACCUUGGAGAUGGUGGAGAGAUUCUGGAGUUUGGAGAUGGAUAAAGUGGGGAAGAAGCUUCUUCCAGGCCAGCACCAGGGGUGCCUCAAUGGAGAAGACAGGCAAGAUCGGGCUCACCCAGAGCUCACAGAGCAGUGGAAGAGACAGGCAGUAAAUAGGAGGGACUGAGUAAACCAAUACAGCAGGAAGAGGAUUUUAAACAGUGGUAAGCACUGAGAAGAAAGGAAAGUAUGGUGGUUGAUAGGGGUCUGGGCAAUAGUCUUUACCAUGGUCAGGUCUGGUCUUUCCAGGAGGUGGCAUUUGAUCUGAGACUGGAAAAUGAGAAGAAACAGACCAGAGGGAAGGAGCAUUCCAGACAGAGGAACAGCACAUCAAGGGAGGGAACGAGCUUGGUGUCUUUGAAGGAGGAAGGAAGGCCAGUGAUGGAGUGACAAGCCAGGGAGGAGUCAUAGGACCCGGGGCUGGCAGUGGUCUCCCUGCUCUGGGGAGCAUCUGAUUGUAUUUUUUUUUUUUUUUUUUGGCGGUACGCGGACCUCUCACUGCUGUGGCCUCUCCCGUUGCGGAGC